GUGUAGCCUAGUGGUAAAAGGCAGCACUCUAGAUGCUGAGGUUGUGGGUUUGAAUCCCACCAGAAACA
rnacentral:tRNA from 1 species